ensembl:lincRNA
UGUGUCCCCAAAAUCCUAUGUUGAAAUCCUAACCCUCAAAGUGGUGGUAUGAGGAGGUAGGGCCUCUGGGACAUUAUUAGGUCAUGAGGAAUGGAGUCCUUAUGAAUGGGACUAGUGCAUCAUAAAAGAGACCCCAGGGAGCUCCCUUGUCCCUUCCGCUAUUUGAGAACACACUGUAAAUAUGGCUGUCUAUGAACCAGGAGGCAGGCCCUCCCAGAAUAAAAUCUGCAGGUACCUAGUCUUGGACUUCUCAGCCUCCAGAACGUGGGAGAAGAGUUUAACAGAAGUGCUGGGUGGACCCCGGGGCUGGGAGAGCUGUUUGAUACGCCCGGAUCCCUGCCACCAUCCUCGCCCUGGCAUGCUGUCUGCAAACUCGGUGAAGAUCAGCUCUGUACAGGCCUGGAGGUCACGGAGAAGAGUAAGGUACUGCCCUAGUGACUCAGGUGGCGUCAGGAACGAAUGGCAGAACAGCAGUGACUCGGAGGACCCCACCCCCUUGCAGGCGCUAUCAACCCAAAACACCGAGCACUCAAACCACCCCGUCCUGAGUCCCAGCCCCUUCCAGCCUUCCCUGGCCUCCUGUCCACUGUCAACACACAAGUCCUAAGGCUGACUUCAAAACCGUUCCACAUCUGCUCCCCAAGCAGAUCGCUGCAGUGAGGGAAACACACAAAGUUCAUGAAUGAAGGGUGAGAAUACAAUAAAAAUUUCCAGCAAUUAUUAUUUGCUACAUAAGAGAGAGGCUCUGCACCGGCUGCCAAGAAAUCUAGGAGCCUCAACCUCAGAGGGCUGUGUGCUCUGGGAGGCCAGAGACCUUGAGGUCUGGCCCUCAGAUCACGCUCUUUGGGAAGGGGUUUGUGUUCGUAGACAAUUACAUCCCACCUUCACUGAUAACCAAUUUCCUGCACAGAGCCAGCAGCUCUUAACUUUUAGGAUGAGCACCAGCUGAUAAAAAGCUGUUGAGCAGAAUCCCAGUUGAUUUUAUUUUCCUCUUGGCACUGUGGGCUAGAAUGCCAGUGAGGAGAGAGCACAGGGAAAUGGUUUCAAUUAGCAAGAUGAGCCUCGUGCCUGCUAGGAUCACUUCUCAGAACACAGAACAGCCGCGGUCACAGGUUUUCUCUGAGGUAGGAAGAAACCAAAGGCUGGGGAAAACCAAAGGCUGUGUGGGAAUGUCAGACCAGAAGCUGAAGCCAAUUACAGAGUCUUUACCCUCUGCAGUGGUCAGUCUCCAAGAUGGCCCCAAUGACUGAUGGCUCUGGGUAUUCGCCAGGAGGUGUUCCUCUCCCUUGCCGAACAGGAAUGGCCGUGUACCCAAGAGCAUGUUCCAGAAAUGAUGGAGUUUGACCUCCAAGAGGAGGCCGUACACAGCACCAUCGCCUCUGCCUUGUGCUCUCUUGCAUCAUCUGUUUUGAGGGAAGCCAGCUGCCGUGUCAUGAAGGUACUCAAGCAGCACUCUGGAGGGGUCCCUGUGGCAAGGACCUGAGGCCUCCUGCCAACAGCCCAUGUCACCUUGCCAGCCACAUGGUAAGCCACCUUGAAGCAGUUCCUCAAGCCCCAGUCGAGCCUUCAAAUGAUCACAGCUCCAGCCACCACCUUCACCGCCACCUCACAACAGAACCACUCAGCUAGCUGCUCUCACAUUCCUAACCCACAGAAACCAUGAUAUUGGACACAUUUAUUGUUGUUUUCUAUUACAACCUAUGGUGUAAUAUAUUUUGCAGCAAACAGAUCAGACAUGCACCCUCCAAGUAUACCAUCCUACCUACCUAUAUCUGUAAGAAACCAACAUCAUAUUAAAAAGUAUUCAUCAUCAUUAGUCAUCAGGGAAAUUCCUAUCAAAACCACACUGGGAUACCAAUUCUUACACCUGUGAGAAUGGCCAAAAUUAACAGGACAGAAAACAACAAUUCUUAGAGAGGGUAUGGAGAAAGGGGAACCCUCUUAUACUGUUGGUGGGAAUACAAGUUGGUACAGCCUCUCUGGAAAACAGUGUGGAGAUUGCUUAAGAAGAAAUUAAAAAUAGAGCUUCCCUAUGACCCUGUAAUUGCAUUACUGGGUAUUUACCCCAAAGAUACAGAUGUAGUGAAAACAAGGGCCAUCUGUACCCCCAUGNNN